CCUACGGGUGGCAGCAGUGAGGAAUAUUGGUCAAUGGACGAGAUUCUGAACCAGCCAAGUAGCGUGAAGGAUGACUGCCCUAUGGGUUGUAAACCUCUUUUGUCUGUGAAUAAAAUGUUGCACGUGUGCGGUUUUGUGUGUAUCAUAUGAAUAAGCAUCGGCUAACUCCGUGCCAGCAGCCGCGGUAAUACGGAGGAUCCGAGCGUUAUCCGGAUUUAUUGGGUUUAAAGGGUGCGUAGGUGGUUUGUUAAGUCAGUUGUGAAAUUUUGCGGCUCAACCCUAAAAUUGCAGUUGAAACUGGCAGGCUUGAGUACAGGAGAGGUAGGCGGAAUUCGUGGUGUAGCGGUGAAAUGCUUAGAUAUCACGAAGAACUCCGAUUGCGAAGGCAGUUCACUGGACUGCAACUGACACUGAGGCUCGAAAGUGUGGGUAUCAAACAGGAUUAGAUACCCGGGUAGUC
rnacentral:rRNA from 1 species